CCUACGGGAGGCAGCAGUGGGGAAUAUUGGACAAUGGGCGAAAGCCUGAAGCAGCCAAGUCGCGUGAGGGAGUACUGCCCUCUGGGUUGUAAACCUCUUUUGUCGGGGAGCAAAAGCCGGACGUGUCCGGCUGUGAGAGUACCCGAAGAAUAAGCAUCAGCUAACUCCGUGCCAGCAGCCGCGGUAAUACGGAGGAUGCGAGCGUUAUCCGGAUUUAUUGGUUUUAAAGGGUGCGCAGGCGGAUUUUUAAGUCAGCGGUCAAAUCGUGGGGCUCAACCCCAUCCAGCCGUUGAAGCUGGGGAUCUAGAGUGUGCGAGAGGUAUGCGGAAUGCGUGGUGUAGCGGUGAAAUGCAUAGAUAUCACGCAGAACCCCGAUUGCGAAGGCAGCAUACUGGUGCACAACUGACGCUCAGGCACGAAAGCGUGGGGAUCGAACAGGAUUAGAUACCCUUGUAGUC
rnacentral:rRNA from 1 species